GGGGCAGGAGAGAGGGCAGUGAAAUGUUUUGCUUGGGAUGUUGGGCAUCGUGGAUAGUUUUCAGGAGUGAGAAGAUCUUAGAACGAUGUAUUUUUUUAAGCUCUUUAUAUUUACGGUGUGAGACUUUUAAGUUUUUACAGAAGAAACAAAAUGGAGCCAAGGUGAGGCGUACUUUCUAUUUUGUAUGUUUGAAGAGGUCCUUAGUAUAUUAUGUAGCAUCUUUCCUGCUUUAACUUUGGAGGCUCAUUAAAGAAAACAGAUGUUCCUAACUUUUUUAUUUCUGUCUCUAGCUGCAAGAAUGAGUCCAACAUUUCCAAGCAAGGUUGUUCUUUCUCCCUUGUUACUUAAUCCAGACUUUGGCUGAAAAGAUUCAUCUCAAGGAAUUGUAUUCUUGAAGAUGUCAGAAAAAGAUUCCUGGGUCUUGGAAGAGAAUUACUAAAACUGCAGGGGAGGAAUAAAACUGAAGGGUGUUUUUCUUAGAGAACACCAUGUGUGAGAUUUAUCAAGAAUUUGAAGAUUAUAUAAGACACAGGUCCUUUGCACCAUUUCAACAUGUGUGAAUCUUUUCACACAGUAGUUAAACAGCACCUGACCCACAACAACACAGCUGAAGUUUUAGUUGUCAC
ensembl:lncRNA